UUAGUAGGCUUGAAGUUCAUUUACGUACUCAUUUGGAUUUGGAGAAGGAAAGCAACAUGCCGUGGGCUUCUUCAUUUGUGAAUUACAGUCGGAACUGUAUUCGCCUGGUGGUUUUCUUUCGUGUCAUACUGUAAAUAAGAUCGCUUUGGUAAAUCCUUUUUGAUUGGUGAAGGAACUCUUAUAUCUAGUGCGGUUUCAAUUUAAAAGCGGUUUGAGGAGUGAGAAUGUACAUUGCGGUAACCAUAAAGAGGUAUCGAGCUGUGAAAGAAGUAGGGAAGAUUAAAAUGAUUGUUGGGAUUACUGCAUGUUACCAAGUGAUGCAAGUUUGUCAGGCUGAAUAUUUCCGCCAGUUGCUUAAGCCUGUUACGUAGUCUAGCAUUACUAAGCUCUGGGGAAUUGGGUUUUGGGACGAAUUGCCUCUGGUUGUGUUCAUACGUAAGAAGCCGAUGACAAAGAUGAACUAUUUGAUUCUGGUAGUUGUUCAUUUAGAAUAGACAGCUAUUUAUGCAGGAUGGCUAUAUGUGGAUUUGCUAUAUAGUGUUUUUCUCAGUUUAGAAACCUUCUUCGAAUUUGAAACCAAAUAACCACCAAUCCAAAGCCAAAAAAUCCAUCAUUUUGUUGACUUUUUCUAUCCAAAGUGGGCUUCUGAUGCAGAGUGACCAACGAUUUCAAGCCAAAAAGGCAGUGCCCCACGUUGCAAAUCAAAGGGGUAAUAGUUACAUGCAUAUUCCAGUUGCAUCUUCUUUUGCUGCAGCACUACCUCCCGCUGCAAAUCAUUUGAUGCCUGUUCAUGGCAUUGAAUUUCAACCUUCUGAGGUUUGCCCUCAAAACUUCAUUAUUUUCGAUCAGAAUCAUCAUCGAAGCCAAAUUAUGUUCCAUCCCACAGUUGCCCACAAAUUCAGUGGUUCUGGCUUAAAUAUGCAUACAAGUUACAUCCAAGAGAAUUUUUAUAGAAAAGAGAUCAAUGAUAUUGAAAGAGAAAUAUCUGCUUCUCUAAAGGAGGAUUCUGAAGAUAUUGAUAUGUUGUUGAGCUUAGAAGAGGAGGAACAAGAUGAAUAUGAUGAGGAAGAAGUCAGCACAGCUCGAACUUAUGGAAAUCAUGGAAGCAACUCACCUGAUUCUUGCUCAAGUUAUGGUUCCAAACCCAGGAAAACUGGAUCUUCUUUUCAGAAGUCCUCUGGAAGUUGUAGCAGCUGUAACAGUGAAAGGAAACAGCAGAAAAUGAAGAAAAUGGUGAAGGCACUAAGAGGAAUUGUGCCUGGUGCUGACCAAAUGAAUACUGUCACUGUUCUUGAUGAAGCAGUCAGGUAUCUAAAGUCUCUCAAAGUUGAAGUGCAGAAGCUUGGAGUUAGGAAUUUGAAGAAUUAAAAUUAAAAUUUCUGGUAUUGAACUCCAAGCUUCUGCACUUCAACUUUGAGAGACUUUAGAUACGCACCAAUUAGGUUCCCUCUUUCUUGGUGGGUUGGUAUUAGGAGAAUAAU
rnacentral:misc_RNA from 1 species